UACGUAGGGGGCGAGCGUUGUCCGGAAUGACUGGGCGUAAAGGGCGUGUAGGCGGCUUUACAAGUCUUUCGUGAAAGUCCUGCUUUCAAGGUGGGAAUUGCGUAGGAAACUGUAGAGCUUGAGUGCGGAAGAGGUAAGUGGAAUUCCCAGUGUAGCGGUGAAAUGCGUAGAGAUUGGGAGGAACACCAGUGGCGAAGGCGACUUACUGGGCCGUAACUGACGCUGAUGCGCGAAAGCGUGGGGAGCGAACAGGAUUAGAUACCCGUGUAGUCCCUGA
rnacentral:rRNA from 1 species